rnacentral:rRNA from 1 species
GACGAACGCUGGCGGCGUGCUUAACACAUGCAAGUCGAACGGAAAGACCCUGCUUUUGUGGGGUGCUCGAGUGGCGAACGGGUGAGUAACACGUGAGUAACCUGCCCUUGACUUUGGGAUAACUUCAGGAAACUGGGGCUAAUACCGGAUAGGAGCUCCUACUGCAUGGUGGGGGUUGGAAAGUUUCGGCGGUUGGGGAUGGACUCGCGGCUUAUCAGCUUGUUGGUGGGGUAGUGGCUUACCAAGGCUUUGACGGGUAGCCGGCCUGAGAGGGUGACCGGCCACAUUGGGACUGAGAUACGGCCCAGACUCCUACGGGAGGCAGCAGUGGGGAAUAUUGCACAAUGGGCGGAAGCCUGAUGCAGCAACGCCGCGUGCGGGAUGACGGCCUUCGGGUUGUAAACCGCUUUCGCCUGUGACGAAGCGUGAGUGACGGUAAUGGGUAAAGAAGCACCGGCUAACUACGUG